UAGCCAUGCAUGUCCCAGUAUAAAUCUGGUACAAGAUGAAACUGCGAAUGGCUCAUUAAAUCAGUUCUAGUUUCUUUGAUGGUGUCUUACUACAUGGAUAACCGUAGUAACAUAGAGCUAAUACGUGCUUCAAAUCCUGACUGGUGCUCUCCGGGGUGCCUGGAAUAGGAUGUAUUUAUUAGAUCCAAAACCAAUGCGUUGUUGCGUGCUUUCGGGUGCGUGGCGGCGGUUAUGUUGGUGAUUCAUGCUAACUUUUCGGAUCGCAUGGCCUUGCGCUGGCGAUGCUUCAUUCAAGUUUCUGCCCUAUCAACUGUCGAUGGUAGGGUAUUGGCCUACCAUGGUUGUAACGGGUGACGGAGAAUUAGGGUUCGGUUCCGGAGAGGGAGCCUGAGAAAUGGCUACCACAUCUAUGGAUGGCAGCAGGCGCGCAAAUUACCCAAUCCCGACCUGGGGAGGUAGUGACAAUAAAUAACAAUGCGGUUCCAUCUUUGGUUCUGCAAUUGGAAUGAGAACAAUCUAAACACCUUAACGAGGAGCAAUUGGAGGGCAAGUCUGGUGCCAGCAGCCGCGGUAAUUCCAGCUCCAAUAGCGUAUAUUAAAGUUGUUGCAGUUAAAAAGCUCGUAGUUGGAUUUCGGAGCGGUCGGGUUGGUCCGCCCAGCGUGGUGUGCACUGGCCUUGGUGGUAUGGCUAGGGUAUGCUUCUUUCACGAGGGGCUGCCUUCAGUCUGCCGCCCUUGUUGCGUGUACACGUAGCAAGUGACCGUUCUUCUCCCUCGGAGACGGAGUCUGUCCUUCACUGGAUGGGCUUUGGAUGCGAGGUGUUUACUUUGAAAAAAUUAGAGUGUUCAAAGCAGGCCUUAUCUUCGCUUGAAUACAUUAGCAUGGAAUAAUGGAAUAGGACUCUGUGCCUAUUUUGUUGGUUUGAAGGCAGAGAGUAAUGAUUAAUAGGGACAGUUGGGGGCAUUCGUAUUUAAUUGUCAGAGGUGAAAUUCUUGGAUUUCUGAAAGACGAACAACUGCGAAAGCAUUUGCCAAGGAUGUUUUCAUUAAUCAAGAACGAAAGUUAGGGGUUCGAAGACGAUCAGAUACCGUCGUAGUCCUAACCAUAAACAAUGCCGACUAGGGAUCAGCGUACGUUCGUUCUAUGGGACGUCGUUGGCACCUUACGA
rnacentral:rRNA from 1 species